rnacentral:rRNA from 1 species
GUGAGGAAUCUUCCACAAUGGGCGAAAGCCUGAUGGAGCAACGCCGCGUGAAGGAUGAAGGCCUUCGGGUUGUAAACUUCUUUUAUGAGUGAAGAAUAUGACGGUAACUCAUGAAUAAGCACCGGCUAACUACGUGCCAGCAGCCGCGGUCAUACGUAGGGUGCAAGCAUUAUCCGGAGUGACUGGGCGUAAAGAGUUGCGUAGGCGGUUUAAUAAGUGAAUAGUGAAACCUGGUGGCUCAACCAUACAGACUAUUAUUCAAACUGUUAAACUCGAGAAUGGUAGAGGUAACUGGAAUUUCUAGUGUAGGAGUGAAAUCCGUAGAUAUUAGAAGGAACACCGAUGGCGUAGGCAGGUUACUGGGCCAUUUCUGACGCUAAGGCACGAAAGCGUGGGGAGCGAACCGGAUUAGAAACCCUAGUAGUCC